AAUAGAUACCCGGGUAGUCCACGCCGUAAACGUUGGGCGCUAGGUGUGGGGCUCAUUCCACGAGUUCCGUGCCGCAGCAAACGCAUUAAGCGCCCCGCCUGGGGAGUACGGCCGCAAGGCUAAAACUCAAAGGAAUUGACGGGGCCCCGCACAAGCGGCGGAGCAUGCGGAUUAAUUCGAUGCAACGCGAAGAACCUUACCAAGGCUUGACAUGCAGGGUAAUCCGGCAGAGAUGUCGGGUCCGCAAGGGAUCUUGCACAGGUGGUGCAUGGUUGUCGUCAGCUCGUGUCGUGAGAUGUUGGGUUAAGUCCCGCAACGAGCGCAACCCUCGUUCUAUGUUGCCAGCGCGUGAUGGCGGGGACUCAUAGGAGACUGCCGGGGUCAACUCGGAGGAAGGUGGGGAUGACGUCAAAUCAUCAUGCCCCUUAUGUCCAGGGCUACACACGUGCUACAUUGGCGCAUACAAAGGGCAGCAAUACCGUGAGGUGGAGCGAAUCCCAUAAAGUGCGUCUCGGUUCGGU
rnacentral:rRNA from 1 species